AACCCCCCCAGGGGAGGUGUUUAGUUGGGCGGGAUUUCAGUUUGCAGGCAUGGACUUUUGGGUGUCUGUGACAUCCAAGUGCAUGGGAAGUAGUCAGCUCAGGACAUCAGUCUGGAACUGCAAUGAGGAGACAAGAUCAUAGGGUAGCUUGUAGAUAACAGGUAAGGCUUCUGAAGCCGUAAGAUGUCCUCAGGGAAGAGCGUGAGAGAUUCAGAAAGGUGAGGCCUCUAGAGGAGAUUGAAAAGGAAAACUAAAGCAAUUGGAAGUUUACCAAGAGAAUCAAGUACUUAAUGGAAGAGAAUGUCUUAGGAAGGAAGUAGCCAUGAUAUUAAAUCCUUAGAGAUGGAGUACUAACAAAAAGGGGCAAGGUAUAAGGGGAGGGAAAUAGCCUUUUUAUUGAGAAAUACGGAUCUCACUGGUGAACUUGGAACAUGUGUGGUGGAGUGAUGGCCCAGUAGCUGAUUUGCAGUAAGUAAAGACACAAGGCAGGCGAAAAAAUGAACACAGUACAAACAGAUAAAAACCUCAGUUAUAUGAGGAAGAUUAAGAUCAAGUGGUACCUAGGGGAGAAUGAGAGGUAAACAAAUUUGUCUUUUAAAGUAUGAGGGAGACUUACAUAGUUUUAAUGAAAAUGGAAAGUAUCCUGACAAGAGGAGGCAGUGGAAAAUUCAGGAGGGAGAGGAGAUCACUGACAAUGGUGCCUGGGAUGGCAGAAAGAAUGCGACCCAAGGCAUCAGUGGAGAAACCACGCUUGGAAGAAAGGUUAUUCUCGCCAACACAGUGCAAGAGGAGGGGAACAGAGGAGUACUUAGUUAAAAUCAAGUUAAAACAACCUCAGAGGAUGCUAAAAGGACUCAAACAUCUAAUUGUUGGAGAAAAACUAGAGUACAAGGGCUGGUGCUGUGGAGUAGUGGGUAAAGCCGCCACCUGCAGUGCCGGCAUCCCUUAUGGGCGUUGAUUGGAGACCCAGCUGCUCCACUUCCGAUCCAGCUCUCUGCUAUGGCCUGGGAAAGCGAUGGAGGAUAGCCCAAGUCCAUGGGCCCCUGCACCCACGUGGGAGACCUGCAAGAAGCUCCUGGCUCCUGGCUUCAGAUCAGCACAGCUCCGGCCAUUGUGGCCAUCUGGGGAGUGAACCAGUGGAUGGAAGACCUCUCUCUUCCUCUCUCUCUCUCUC
rnacentral:lncRNA from 1 species